UUAAUUUUUGUCAACCGUGGGCUCGUACUGAUUUCAUCUCUUGAUGGGCUCAAAAUUGUUGCUUUUUCUCCAACUAGGGUUUUAUGUUUCUCUGAAAUUUCGUGAUGUUGGGACUCUGGAGCUUGGGGCUUUACUUGUUUCACACUUUGGGUUCGAAUUGAUUUUGGUCUGCCUUUUUCUGGUAAAUAUUUUUUAAAAAAAGAAAAAAAGGUUUUGAUAAUUUUGGAGGUUGAUAGUGAAAUGCAAAUCCCUUUUCAAACCCCAUUGUUGGAUUGAUGAUUCGAUUUUGUAUAUUUUUGUGUAGUCGAAUGGGAAAGGUUUGGAUGAUUCAGAUUGUUCCUCCUUUUUAUCAAUUAAUUGUUUGUUUGGUUUUUCUCAAGUCGUGAAGGUUUUUGUGAAAUUGGUGGUUUUGUUUAACUGUUAAAUCACUCAAAAAUGUGUACUUAUUUUCCCCUUCGAUUUAGAUAAUUGCAUUUUAUUUUUUGUUGUGGAUUUUUUAUUGUGGUGCUGCUGACUACAUGGUUGUGGUGUGGUGUUGUGUUGUAUGUGCACUGUAGUGCUAAUGCAAGAGAUUUCUAGAGAUCCUACAAUGAUCAUUGGCAAUAGUCAUAAUGUAUUUGUUACAUAUAAGGGAAAGAGGCAAUUCUCAAAGAGUGACUUGCAUUCGGAUAACCAUCCUGAGAUUUCAGUGGCGAAAUCCUCAAUCAAUUUCGACAAGGGCGAGAAUGGUGUUUCUGAGCAUACACUCAGAGCAAGGAAAGAGACGUUGAGAUAAGCCACAGAUGUUCUUAAACAAAUUCCGAAGAAAAUAUGUUGCUGUGUGAAAAUUACAAUUCCAAGAAUGAAUGUCAAUGUUAUGAGGUUUGGGUUUUUUGAUUAUUUCUUUAGCUCUUCUUGAACUUAGACAAACUGUACAUUGCAGAUAUGUGAUUAUCUGUGCAUACAAAUUUUUUAAAGUCAAUACACAUCUCAUCUUUGGAUAGGAAAAUGCUUUAAAGUUGCAAAAGCUUAACUAUGUGGGUUCGAAAUAGCAAUAUUUCUUUGUUUCGGAGUGUCAGAAUUAUGAAGGAAAACAGUGCACAUUUGAUGCAAAUGUAGCUUUGGAAGUGGAUUCCAGAGAGACACAUCUAAUGGAAUCAGGUGCUCGAUCUAGUGCUGAUGAUAACUCUUCUGAUCCUCAAAUAAAACCAUUAUUGGUAAAGUUGGGUUUGGAGCAUAAGUUUGAGGAGAGGGUUUCGCUUACAUCUUCUGAUGCAUGCUCUUUCAAGGAAUUGGAUUUGUGGCGCCUGAAAGUGUCCGGUGGAGCUAAUUGCUGUCAUCCAAGGGACACUUGUGUUUCAGAAACCUUUACUUCGAAAAAAACAAACAAAGGUACAGGAGAUUCCCCUGGUGGCUCAUGCCACAAUUCAGAUACAUAUUGCAGUUUCUCUUCCUCAUUAAUUACGUACUACGAAGAUCCAAGAGAAAAAGAAAUAUUUCUGCUCUCGAUAUUGUUUCUGAAAUAGGAAUUUCAGACAAAGUUGUGAUGCCUCUGAAGGACAAUGAGGUGGAUGGUGAAAUGCUAAUGCCUUUUCGAACCCAUUGUUGGAUUGAUGAUUGGAUUUUGUAUAUCUCAGUGUAGUCGAAUUGGGAAGGUUUUGAUGGUUCAGAUUUUUCCUCCUUAUCAAUUAAUUGUUUGUUUGGCUUUUCUAAGUCAUGAAGGUUUUUGUGAAAUUGUGGUUUGGUUUAACUGUUAAAUCACUCCGAAAUGUGUAUCUUUUUUCUGGUCACUUCCUCUUCGAUUUAGAUAAUUGCAUUUCAAUUUUUGUUGUGGAUUUUUUAUUGUGAUGAUGCUGACUACAUGUCUACAUGUUUGUGGUGUUGUGUUGUAUGUGUAGUGCUAAUGCAAGAGAUUUCUCGAGAUCCUACAAUGAUCAUUGGCAAUAGUCAUAAUGUAUUCGUUACAUACAAGAGAAACAGGCUUUUCUCAAGAAGUGACUUGCAUUCGGAUAACCAUCCUGAGAUUUUGGUGGCGAAAUCCUCAACCAGUUUUGAAAAGGACAAGAAUGGUGUUUCUGAGCAUACAUUGCUAAGUAAGGAAAGAGACGUUGAGAUAAGCCAUGAAUGUUCCCAAAGAAAUGCCGAAGAAAAUGCGUUGCUGUGUGAACACUGCAACUCCAAGAAUCAAUGUCAACGUUCUGAGGAAAAUGCUUCAAAGUUGCGAAAGCUUAAUUCUGCGGGUUCAAAACAGCAAGAUUCGUUUGUUUCGAAGUGCCAGAAUUAUGAAAGAAAGCAGUGCACAUUUGAUGCAAAUGAAGUGGAUUCCAGAGAGACACUUCUAAUGGAAUCAGCUGCUGGAUCUGGUGUCGAUGAAAAAUCUUUUAAUCCUCAAACAAAACCAUCAUUGGUAAAGUCGGGUUUGGAGCAUAAGUUUGAGAGGAGAGUUUCACUUACAUCUUCUGAUGCAUGCUCUUUCAAGGAAUCGCAUUCGCGAUACCAGAAAGUGUCCGGUGGAGCUAAUGGCAGCCAUCCAAUGGACACUUGUGUUUCGGAAACAUUUACUUCGAAUGAAACAAAGAUUGUCCUGGUGGCUCCUGCAACAAUUCACAUACAUAUGGCAGGUUCUCAGCCUCAUUAAUUAUGUACCAAUGAAGAUCCAAGAGAAAAAGAAAUAUUGCUGCUCUUGACAUUGUUUUUGAAACAAGAAUGUCUGACAAAAGUGUGAUGGCGUUGAAGGACAAUGUGGUUCGGUUUGGUUUAUCUUAUCUUAUCUUACCUCUUUUUUUCCAAAUAUCUAUAUCAUUGGUACGCUAUUUUGCUUCUUUUGUUACUUUUUUCAUGUUAUUUAGGAUGUCAACACUAUUUUCAGAAUGUUAAUUUUGAAGUUAAUUAAUGAAAAGGAAUAGAGUUGUUAUGCUGUUUUCAAUUAUUUAGUAAGUUUUCCGAUGCUUCAAUAUGCCACGUUGGUCUUCAAUAUUUAGUGCUCACUAUUACCUGAUGUUAAAAUCAAAGUUAGAAGCAGCAGAUGAUGAAUGUUCACAAAUAAAAUUGGAAAAAAUCAAUGAUGAUUGUUAGAGAAAUUAAAGCAAAUAAUUCCAUAAUAUCAACUUUUAUGAUGUUACUGAAUAUGUGUGAUUCUGAUGUAUUUGCUCUGUGACAGAAACCCUUUGAUGAUAUCAAUAACUUGCAUGUCUCUGCGGCCCCUGCCCCGGAAAUUGCCAUGGAUCCGCGCAGGGACGUCCCUUCUGGAACUUUCCGAGACAUAGACUGCAAUCUACCGCUUGUCUCGAGGUUCAAAGAAAGUCAUCUACCUAGACCUUCAGACUUUCUUCCCAGCUCUGUCGGCUUGGGUAGUAAGAGAAAUGAAAAUGCACAAACUGGGCAAACUCAGUGCAGAGACAGCAAUCAUCGAUCAGUUGAUGCUGCUGUCGACAAGGGAAAAUCGGCCAUGGAAUCUGAGCCAGCAUCAGGCAACUCUUCCAGGACCACAUACCUUCAGGUACGCUGUGGAAACAUACUUCUUCAACUACAGCCGAGAAAAGCAUUUCAUGAUUUUAUGGCCCCAUCACCCAACCGAGGACAAUCGUUCGCCAGACAGAGGAUGAUGCCUCGGGACUUAGCCGACCAAGGACAAUCCUGGCUCUUGCAUGCCACGCCGGUCUCCCAAGUCAGGUAUGCGAAUCCAAUCCUGAAUCCCUUCCCGCCGGACCAUGUUAGCAGCCUGCUGCUGCAUCCACAGGCGAACGGGAACUUCCCAAUCGACGAAUUCCAGCUUUCCCUCGGGAAUCCCUACUGAGCCAUACCAAACAGGCAUCUUUUCCAUCCUAAUAAUGCCCCGAAAUACAGUGUCGCCGGUAACUCUAGCACCUUGUCGCCGUUCGGUUAUUUCAACCCAACCGAAUACGGCCGGGACGAUUUGAAGGGAGCUUUGCCACACUGGCUAAGAGAUGCAGCGGAAACACCAGUGGGCAUCGUUACUCCGUCGCUGCUUCAUCCCGGAUUGCAGUGGCCGAACCUGGCUGCCCAUGGCCUUGCCGGGAGGCUGUCUCAGCAGCCGGCGGUGGACAACAGGUACGCCUCCGCUAAAAGGAGAAACGAGGGGAGGAUGAACUCGCCGCCAGUUGCUAGACUGGGACGAAAUGCUGAUACGCCGGAUGGCCCGAUUGUUAUUCCGAGCGAUGGUCGUCAGAGGAGACUAUUUCCGAUGACCGCGGAGGCGGCGGUAGGCCUUCUUAAGCUAAACUAAUAUAUAUAUAUAUAUAUUUAUAUGAUGGAAGACGGUUUCCGGAGAUUUUUGUUUUGUAUAGUACUGUUGUAUUGGCAUUUUGUAGAGAUUAGGAAAAAUAUUGUAUUGAUUCACGGAAGAAGAUGAUACAACGUAUAUACAGGGCUUCUGAGCUAUUAAUUUAAAUAAAAGGAAUGCAC